rnacentral:rRNA from 1 species
UACGUAGGGCGCAAGCGUUAUCCGGAAUUAUUGGGCGUAAAGAGCUCGUAGGCGGUUUGUCGCGUCUGCCGUGAAAGUCCGGGGCUCAACUCCGGAUCUGCGGUGGGUACGGGCAGACUAGAGUGAUGUAGGGGAGACUGGAAUUCCUGGUGUAGCGGUGAAAUGCGCAGAUAUCAGGAGGAACACCGGUGGCGAAGGCGGGUCUCUGGGCCAUUACUGACGCUGAGGAGCGAAAGCGUGGGGAGCGAACAGG